UAUGUAUAUUCGUAGAAGGAGAGAGAAAUUGAUUUUUUCUUUUUAUAAAAUUUUUACAAUGCUUUUAAGCUUUGUGUUGUUCGUUGGAUUAACAUAAAUGAGAUUUAAAUGCAUAUGCGUAGGUUUACAAGCGGUUCUCAAAAGUAAGAGACUGAAAAAAGCUCUGAGCAAUCUUGUAAUAAUGUCAUAAACUCUGGCCCUAGUGUUGCACGAGCACUCAGGCGGUCAUUUUGUGUUGCAGUUGAGGAGACUGCGAAACUAUGAAACUGUGUGCACGUCAGGAAACGCGUCCAUUUCCAUUAUGAAUAAACGAAACGAAUCAGACUCGAAAGCUUAAAUAUGACGAUGCUUUGAGUGUAAAAAGGUUUCCCGAAAAAAUUGGAAGAAAAAACUUUAUUACGAAGGCUUACGUACUUAACGUUGCGGGAGUGGCAUGAACACAAAUGUAAGAAAAAGGAAAAAAAAAAAACAAGAAAAAAAAAAAAAAGAAAAAAAGUAAAAAUAUACAGAGCGCGCGUGUAUAUGUAUAUGUAACCUAUUUGAAAGAAUUGACAAAGAAAGAAAGAAAAAUUUCCUAAAACGCGUGUCUGUGCGUGUAAGCAACAUAAAAAUUUAAUUUUGUUAAAUUCCGAUGGCUGGCAAGCGUGCAAUUGUAGAACCUUGCAUAUGUUGCGACCAAGCAGCGGCAUUCUCAAACAAAAGUACAAUUUUGCUUAAGACACGUACGCACAGCAGCAGCUUGCAGUACAUGUGAUAUUUUUUCGAUUCGUUCUUUUUUUUUAUUCCCCCUUAUACUUAAACAUUGAAAAACGUUUAACACAAUAAAAAAGCAGCAAAAAUAUAUUUUAAAAUAUAAUGAAAAUUUGAACUAAAAUUGAUGAGUGCUAGUGCAAGAGAUGAUCAUAAGCCAAUUACUUAUCUAAAUGUAAUAACCGCAAUAAUAUAAUAAUAAUAAUAAUAAUAAAAAUAAUAAUAACAACAGCAUUAAUAGCAAUAACGACAAUAGCAUCAUUAUUAUCAUCAUCAUCGAUCAAAUUAAUUGUGAUGAAUUUCAUAUAUCAUAAUUCAUGUAACGAAACGUUACGCUUGUUUGUCGUUAUGUCUUCCUGUUGGAAGGGCGACUGUUCACACUCAUAGCUUUGUUAAGAGGACAAAUCUCUUCUCGAAUUUUCUGCUUUGACUUUGACAUAGAAAUGAACUGAACCAGUUGCAGAAGCAAAAGCGAGCCAACAAAUUCAUCAUUUCUCCGUUAAAUUUGAAAAUCAGGUAAAUGCAAUAAAAACUGCCUCAGUCAAUUAAUUCAUUCACUACGCACGUGUUGUUGCAUAAUUUAAUACAAAUACAUUAUUUGAAAUGAUUACUAUAUGCUUUGUCUACAUUGAAAGCAAACGUCACACCUGUGCACAUGUAUGUAGAUAGAUGCAUAACUACACAAGCAGAUCUUAGAAGUCUCGGUGCUGGUAGUAGUGAGCAGGCAAGAGCCAGCAAUCAGCAGCCACCCUGCAGCAACUGGUGACCAGAAUUCUUGUCACUCAACCCCUUUUCUAAAUCAAUUUCAUUACUUAUCGCUUUUCACGCAAUGUAAAUACCAAUUCUCUUGCAAAGGCAGAGAUGACAAGUGAUAUAAUAGCGAGUUUCGAAUUCUGUAUUGUUGUAUUGCUCCGGCUACACUACUUCGCAUACUCUUCUAUACUUUAAUACAAGUUACAAAUGGAAGGAUAUAGGACGCGCACCAUCAUAUUUACACUAUUCGAUUGUUUGGUUAUCUCGCAUAUCACGUUAAAGCAAGUGCAUUGGAUGUUGUUUGCACCAGAUUUGUAUAUCUAAAGCUUUGGGGUUCUUGCAUCACAAAUAAAUGCGCCCAAGAAUUAAUAGGAAAUCGUUAGGUAUGCCUUGCAACUUGAUAUGGUUGACUCGCGCGUUUGUAAACAAUAUCCAUACGGGAUACGUGAACUUGCUUACAGUUAUUUAUUAAUAAGUUUCGUAUCACUUUAAGCUUAAGCAAAAGCAAGCAUAUCUGUGUGUAUUUCGUCAAUAUUCAAUAUAUUUUGCAAUGGUCCGUCCUCAUCUCCAGAAUGAACAUAAUAAAAAUUGUUGACAAAAACUCAUGCCAAUGAAAGCUUUAACAAACUGAAUUCAAAUCUCACUGUUUGCUCUUUUCAAUCAAGAAGAUAAUUGAAAAUGUAUUCAUACAUAUUUACGUACACAUUGGGGACAGGGGAUUUGGCUAUAAAUUCAAUAGAAAAUGAAAAUGAAUAAUAAAUACAAAAAUAAAAAAAGCAUAGAACAAGUUUUGCAAGCAAUUCCAAAAUUUGUUGUUCGCUUAUUUUUUUUUUUUUUUUUUCUUAUAUUACACUGGAUUACGUAUUGUAUUCGAUGCUUAUAUAAAAUAUGUCAUCUCAAAUGUUGACUUUCUGGCAUUGAUUGGCCUUGGGUUAUUCCACUGGCCCAUUUGCAACGACAAAAAAACGAGAGAAAAAAGCAACUUUCAUUGUUGUAUAUGCAUGCACUGACAUAUAAGAAUGCAAAAAAAAAAAAAAAAAAAAAAAAGAA